rnacentral:rRNA from 1 species
UACAGAGGAGCCAAGCGUCGUCCGGAUUGACUGGGCGUAAAGUGCACGCAGGUGGUCGUGCAAGUGUCGUGUGAAAGCAGCUCGCUUAACGAGCUGAGGCCAUGGCAGACUGCAUCACUCGAGCCCGUGAGAGGUCGGUGGAAUUGCCGGUGUAGUAGUGAAAUACGUAGAGAUCGGCAGGAACACCCAAGGGGAAGCCAACCGACUGGCACGGUGCUGACACUGAGGUGCGACAGCGUGGGGAGCAAACGGG